rnacentral:rRNA from 1 species
CCUACGGGGGGCAGCAGUGGGGAAUAUUGGACAAUGGGGGCAACCCUGAUCCAGCCAUGCCGCGUGUGUGAAGAAGGCCCUCGGGUUGUAAAGCACUUUCAGUGAGGAAGAACGCCUGGUGGUUAAUACCCAUCAGGAAAGACAUCACUCACAGAAGAAGCACCGGCUAACUCCGUGCCAGCAGCCGCGGUAAUACGGAGGGUGCGAGCGUUAAUCGGAAUUACUGGGCGUAAAGUGCGCGUAGGUGGCUUGAUAAGCCGGUUGUGAAAGCCCCGGGCUCAACCUGGGAACGGCAUCCGGAACUGUCAAGCUAGAGUGCAGGAGAGGAAGGUAGAAUUCCCGGUGUAGCGGUGAAAUGCGUAGAGAUCGGGAGGAAUACCAGUGGCGAAGGCGGCCUUCUGGACUGACACUGACACUGAGGUGCGAAAGCGUGGGUAGCAAACAGGAUUAGAUACCCCGGUAGUC